UACGUAGGGGGCAAGCGUUAUCCGGAUUUACUGGGUGUAAAGGGAGCGUAGACGGUAUGGCAAGUCUGAAGUGAAAGCCCAGGGCUUAACCCUGGGACUGCUUUGGAAACUGUUAGACUAGAGUGCUGGAGAGGUAAGUGGAAUUCCUAGUGUAGCGGUGAAAUGCGUAGAUAUUAGGAGGAACACCAGUGGCGAAGGCGGCUUACUGGACGGCAACUGACGCUGAGGCUCGAAAGCGUGGGGAGCAAACAGG
rnacentral:rRNA from 1 species